CAGCAGCCACGGGAAUACGUAGGUGGCAAGCGUUGUCCGGAAUUAUUGGGCGUAAAGGGCUCGCAGGCGGUUUCUUAAGUCUGAUGUGAAAGCCCACGGCUCAACCGGGGAGGGUCAUUGGAAACUGGGAAACUUGAGUGCAGAAGAGGAGAGUGGAAUUCCACGUGUAGCGGUGAAAUGCGUAGAGAUGUGGAGGAACACCAGUGGCGAAGGCGACUCUCUGGUCUGUAACUGACGCUGAGGAGCGAAAGCGUGGGGAGCGAACAGGAUUAGAUACCCGGGUAGUCCCUGUCUCUUAUAC
rnacentral:rRNA from 1 species